GGUUCCGUAGUGUAGUGGUUAGCACGUGAGGUUUUGAAAUGCCUCUGCUCCUCAAAUCGCGAGUUCGAAUCUCGCCGGAACCU
rfam:Magnaporthe oryzae 70-15 chromosome 4, whole genome shotgun sequence.